UAUUUUCUUCUCUUGGCCUGAGCAAUCAUGGAUAUGGGGCUCUUCCACUUGUGUAAUGAUGGAGUAUCCUUUCCCUCAUCCCAGUGCAAUAAGAUCAAUAGUAUUGUUCUUCCCACUAUUAACACAAACUGAAUUUGGGAGCUGUACAAAUAACCAGAAACAACUUUUUCAUGUUGCCAGUGAUGUCAUAAUAUGGCACAUAUCACAACACCUUGUCACCAUAGUCACAAGCAUAGCAUGGAACAGCUUCCCUGGAUGUCUGGUUUGCAAGUGGGCUGGCAAAGCAAGAGAAUUAAAAUGUCUAAAAGGAUCCAUUGAAGGAAGCAGCUGUAGUGAGACCUUGGGGGAUGUCUCCAACUGCCCUUAUCAACAUGUCCUGAGACUGGGAGAGCCCUGCAGUCAUCAAUUCCCACUGCUUGAUCUGCAGCUUCUUAGAAGUCCUUCAGUUGAGGUGCUGCCUGGCUUCAGAGGUGUUGGAAAAAGCCAAAUACCACCAUAAGCAAGUUGAAUAUAUAAGUAGACCAACUUGCUUAUGAAGAAGAAGUAGUUAGAAGAUCAGAGGAAGAAUAACAGGACCCCAAUAUCAACUCUGAUGGAUUUUGCCAGCUGUUCAGACUGUAUGGAGGGAUUAAGACACAGAUUCAUGAAUUGCACAGUGGAGUCUGGGACAAGAUCAUCUUCUGAUACCAACCUUAAGGGCAUAACCCACAUGCCUGCUGAUAGCCUUCCAGAGAAAAAAGGUCAUGUGGCUCAUCAAUUAGCCAUAACAAUAUGCUGAACGAGCCUUUCCCCCUCUGGUACAUGGCAGAUGAACAGCACAAUGAACGGAAAUGCGUCCGGGGAGCCUUCGGCAUCAUUGCCACAACAGGAUCCAGGAAGCUAUGGAGGAGAAUGGCAUCUUCUCAUCACAAGCUUUCAGAUUCUGGUGGUAGAUUUUGGGAAGAGCUGUCAGUUCAUCCUGACCUCGGUAUGAAUUCUCCCAGUGACAGACGGCUUCAAAAAGCUCCUUCUUCUGUCAUACACCUGAGGGAAGAGUUGGAAAAGGGGGAGCCAAAAUCCUUUGAAGGACUGGAAACAUGGAGCUCUCCAUCAAAAGGAACACAUUAUGAUAUUGACAUGGAACUAACCAAUGAUGUCCAGAUGGCAAAUGAAAGCCUCCAUACAGAGACCGUGAUCAAUGUGCCUCAAAGACUUUCAAAGACCUCAGAGCUCCCUAAAGGCUUGGGUUUUUUUGCAGAUGAUCUGGCCUGGUUGCCUGACAACUCCUUGCUAAUGGAUGUGGAGACUUCCGAAUCAGAUUGGACACCAAGCACACUGGGGGCCCUCUUGCCACAGCCCCUGCUAGCAGAGCCUGGUGGCGACAUUGUCAUGAACGAGGAAAGGAAGCUCAAGAAGUCAAAGGAGAUGUCCAUUCUAGAGCGGGUUGGGGAAACUUUACGGCAAAAAAAACUACGUGCAACCCAGGCAUGAGUGAUGCCGAAAUGAAUCACCAGGCUCCUUUGAGUCCUUUUCUACUGUCUGAGAAUGCUUGACUCUGCUCAGCACAAUUGGAUUUUCACAGCUUCACAAAUAGACACGUUUUAAAAUAGCUCCAGUAAAAUAAAGCAUUAGUUGGGGAAGAAGAAACCUGUUGGUUGAGUUUUAACUCUUUCUUUCCACAAUAAAUCGAUCUCUUGC